CCCGAAAGCUAUUUAGGUAGCGCCUCGUGAACUCAUCUUCGGGGGUAGAGCACUGUUUCGACUAGGGGGUCAUCCCGACUUACCAACUCGAUGCAAACUACGAAUACCGAAGAAUGUUAUCACGGGAGACACACGGCGGGUGCUAACGUCCGUCGUGAAGAGGGAAACAACCCAGACCGCCAGCUAAGGUCCCAAAGUCAUAGUUAAGUGGAAACGAUGUGGGAAGGCAUAGACAGCCAGGAUGUUGGCUUAGAAGCAGCCAUCAUUUAAAGAAAGCGUAAUAGCUCACUGGUCGAGUCGGCCUGCGCGGAAGAUGUAACGGGCUAAACUAUGCACCGAAGCUGCGGCAGCGACACAUUGUGUUGUUGGGUAGGGGAGCGUUCUGUAAGCCGUUGAAGGUGGCUCGUGAGGUUGCUGGAGGUAUCAGAAGUGCGAAUGCUGACAUAAGUAACGAUAAAGCGGGUGAAAAACCCGCUCGCCGGAAGACCAAGGGUUCCUGUCCAACGUUAAUCGGGGCAGGGUGAGUCGACCCUAAGGCGAGGCCGAAAGGCGUAGUCGAUGGGAAACAGGUUAAUAUUCCUGUACUCGGUGUUACUGCGAAGGGGGACGGAGAAGGCUAGGCUAUCCGGGCGACGGUUGUCCCGGUUUAAGCGUGUAGGGGGAAAGCGUUGGUAAAUCCGUGCUUUAUUAACCCUGAGGCGUGAUGACGAGUCACUACGGUGAUGAAGUAGUGAUGCCAAGCUUCCAGGAAAAGCCUCUAAGCUCUAGGUAACAUUGAAUCGUACCCCAAACCGACACAGGUGGUCAGGUAGAGAAUACCAAGGCGCUUGAGAGAACUCGGGUGAAGGAACUAGGCAAAAUGGUGCCGUAACUUCGGGAGAAGGCACGCUGGCGCGUAGGUGAAGUCCCUUGCGGAUGGAGCUGAAGCCAGUCGAAGAUACCAGCUGGCUGCAACUGUUUAAUAAAAACACAGCACUGUGCAAACACGAAAGUGGACGUAUACGGUGUGACGCCUGCCCGGUGCUGGAAGGUUAAUUGAUGGGGUCAGCCGCAAGGCGAAGCUCUUGAUCGAAGCCCCAGUAAACGGCGGCCGUAACUAUAACGGUCCUAAGGUAGCGAAAUUCCUUGUCGGGUAAGUUCCGACCUGCACGAAUGGCGUAAUGAUGGCCAGGCUGUCUCCACCCGAGACUCAGUGAAAUUGAACUCGCUGUGAAGAUGCAGUGUACCCGCGGCAAGACGGAAAGACCCCGUGAACCUUUACUAUAGCUUGACACUGAACAUUGAGCCUUGAUGUGUAGGAUAGGUGGGAGGCUUUGAAGUGUGGACGCCAGUCUGCAUGGAGCCAACCUUGAAAUACCACCCUUUAAUGUUUGAUGUUCUAACUCCGGUCCCUAAUCGGGAUUGAGGACAGUGUCUGGUGGGUAGUUUGACUGGGGCGGUCUCCUCCUAAAGAGUAACGGAGGAGCACGAAGGUUAGCUAAUCACGGUCGGACAUCGUGAGGUUAGUGCAAUGGCAUAAGCUAGCUUGACUGCGAGAGUGACGGCUCGAGCAGGUACGAAAGUAGGUCAUAGUGAUCCGGUGGUUCUGAAUGGAAGGGCCAUCGCUCAACGGAUAAAAGGUACUCCGGGGAUAACAGGCUGAUACCGCCCAAGAGUUCAUAUCGACGGCGGUGUUUGGCACCUCGAUGUCGGCUCAUCACAUCCUGGGGCUGAAGUAGGUCCCAAGGGUAUGGCUGUUCGCCAUUUAAAGUGGUACGCGAGCUGGGUUUAGAACGUCGUGAGACAGUUCGGUCCCUAUCUGCCGUGGGCGUUGGAAGAUUGAGAGGGGCUGCUCCUAGUACGAGAGGACCGGAGUGGACGCAUCACUGGUGUUCGGGUUGUCAUGCCAAUGGCAUUGCCCGGUAGCUAAAUGCGGAAAAGAUAAGCGCUGAAAGCAUCUAAGCGCGAAACUUGCCUCGAGAUGAGUCUUCCCUGAGACCUUGAGUCUCCUAAAGGAACGUUUAAGACUAAGACGUUGAUAGGCUGGGUGUGUAAGCGUAGCGAUACGUUGAGCUAACCAGUACUAAUGAUCCGUGAGGCUUAACCUU
rnacentral:rRNA from 1 species